CUGCAUAUUUUUUAUACAGACUCUCGAAAGAUUAGCCAAAAUAGAUUGGACGCGAGAAUUUUUUUUGCUUCUUGCGCUACGUCAGUUUACUUACUACAAGUAAUGGGUAGUAUGUACGCCGGCUAUUAGCUCACUCUGAGAAA
rnacentral:sRNA from 1 species